rnacentral:rRNA from 1 species
UACGGGGGGGGCAAGCGUUGUUCGGAAUUACUGGGCGUAAAGGGCGUGUAGGCGGCCAACUAAGUCCGACGUGAAAUCCCCAGGCUUAACCUGGGAACUGCGUCGGAUACUGGAUGGCUUGAAUCCGGGAGAGGGAUGCGGAAUUCCAGGUGUAGCGGUGAAAUGCGUAGAUAUCUGGAGGAACACCGGUGGCGAAGGCGGCGUCCUGGACCAAUACUGACACUGAAACGCGAAAGCCAGGGGAGCAAACGGG